GUAGGUAGAGUAUACUAAGGGGCGCGAGAUAACUCUCUCUAAGGAACUCGGCAAAAUGACUCCGUAACUUCGGGAGAAGGAGUGCCUUAUUAUAAGGUUGCAAUAACAAGAUCCAAGCAACUGUUUAUCAAAAACACAGGUCUCCGCUAAGUCGUAAGACGAUGUAUGGGGGCUGACGCCUGCCCAGUGCCAGAAGGUUAAAGAAGUUGGUUAGUGUAUGCGAAGCUGAUGACUGAAGCCCUGGUGAACGGCGGCCGUAACAAUAACGGUCCUAAGGUAUCGAAAUUCCUUGUCGGGUAAGUUCCGACCCGCACGAAAGGCGUAAUGAUUUGGAUACUGUCUCGGAGAGAGGCUCGGUGAAAUAGACUUGUCUGUGAAGAUGCGGACUACCUGCACCAGGACAGAAAGACCCUAUGAAGCUUUACUGUAACUUGAAAUUGGAAUUGGACUUUGCUUGCGCAGUAUAGGUGGGAAGCGUUGAAGAUAUUCUUGCGGGAGUAUUGGAGCUAUCAGUGAGAUACCACUCUUGUAAUGUUAGAUUUCUAACUUUGAACCAUAAUCUGGUCAAAGAACAGUUUCAGGUGGGCAGUUUGACUGGGGCGGUCGCCUCCCAAAUGGUAACGGAGGCGUACAAAGGUUUCCUCUGAACGGAUAGAAAUCGUAUCUAGAGUGUAAAGGCAUAAGGAAGCUUGACUGUGAGACCUACAAGUCGAGCAGGGACGAAAGUCGGUCUUAGUGAUCUGACGGUACUGAGUGGAAAGGCCGUCACUCAACGGAUAAAAGUUACUCUAGGAUAACAGGCUGAUCUCCCCCAAGAGUUCACAUCGACGGGGAGGUUUGGCACCUCGAUGUCGGCUCAUCGCAUCCUGGGGCGGUAGUACGUCCCAAGGGUUGGGCUGUUCGCCCAUGAAAGCGGUACGCGAGCUGGGUUCAGAACGUCGUGAGACAGUUCGGUCCAUAUCCGGUGUAGGCGUUAGAAUAUUGAGAGGAGCCUUCUUUAGUACGAGAGGACCGAGAAGGACACACCGCUGGUGUACCAGUUAUCGUGCCAACGGUAAACGCUGGGUAGCUAUGUGUGGAGUGGAUAACCGCUGAAAGCAUCUAAGUGGGAAGCCCACCUCAAGAUGAGUAUUCCCAUGGCGUAAGCCAGUAAGGUCACGGGAAGAACACCCGUUGAUAGGCUCUAUGUGGAAGCGCAGUAAUGCGUGAAGCAGAGGAGUAC
rnacentral:rRNA from 1 species